CGACCAUUAAGCCCUGUUGCUUAGCGUUGGGAGCCUGCUGGCCAUGCCCGCAGCUCCUCAAAGUUAGUGGCGGAGUUGGUGCAUACUCUAGGCGUAGUAAUUUUAAUCUCGCUUUUGUAGUUGUGCCGGCGCCUGCCGUAAAACACCCAAAAUUUAACU
rnacentral:misc_RNA from 1 species